AUAGUACGACCGAGGUUGCGUUUACCUUUCUCACUUUCUGGUCAUUUUCUCCCUCGCGCGCCCCCGCCCUUCCCAAUUCUCGCGCGCGCCCAACUUCCUCUCUCUACCCCGCGCGCGUCGCUGCCCCGCCGUCGCACCGCCAUGAAGGAUUCCGUCCCUGCGCCGAGAUCCCGGUCGCUGCUGACCGCGGCGAGCCGGUAGCGGGCGCAAGGGCGGCGCGCCGCUGCCGCACGCGCGGCGAAUCAGGCCGCCUCUAUCCGAGCUGCACCGCCCCCUCCACCUCCUUCUGCUGCCCCAGUUCUGGCCCCGUCUCCGGCCAUGGAAGAAGGCUCGCCUCCGGCCAUGGCGGGCGGCUGCGAUGCCUACGUGGAUGUGGAGACGAUGUACGCUGGCGUGGCACUCACCGGCGUUGCGCCGGCAGCCUUGCUUCACCCAGAACGGCACAGGCAUGGGCACCCGCAACCUGUUCGAUGAUAUGCCCGAACAGACACAGGAGUAUCAAGAAGAGUGUAUGAUGGAUUUGAUCAAUGGAGCACCAGCUAGAACCAAUAGCUGCAUCUUCACGCGGCAGUCGAGCAGCCCAUAGAUAAGCUUCUGAUUUGCAAGCGGCAAGGGACCUGCGCUAGAUCUAUAAAGCUCUUAAUAUCACACGGAGGCUAGGUGUGUGCUUGGUACAAUUAAACUGCCGUGCAUUUUGUGUUGAAUUUUGGAGGCUAGAGAUGGGUAAGCUUCCGGCGAUGAAGGAGAGCAAAACAUGGACGUGGGGACUGAGCAGGGAUGAGGUUCAGAGAUUGUGAAUGGAACCGCGUUGGGGGCGGCAGCAGUGGCCAGCUCCACCGGGGUGCCGUGCUCUUCGACCUGCUGUGCCCGGCGGCCAUGGCGCCAAGAAUGGCUACCAGGACCAUCGCAAUCCCUUUGUGGCUCCACGCGAGAGGUUGAAGAUUAUAAAACCCAGCAGCGAGCUCACCUGGCUGCGCUAGCCACCCGAGUCUAGCUCGGUUCUCACAGCUACAUUGCUAGAGUUGCUAGAUGUGAAAGUUUCUUGUGUCACUGUUUUAACCCAGAUCCAAGUAUAUUUUGCUAGUAAUAAAAGAAUACUAGUUCUUGUUCUUGAAAUUGCCUAGCACAUUUUUCCUCAGCUAAGACAUACUAAUACUAGUAUCUGUUUAUUGUGCUGAGCUAGUACAAUCAAGAGAUUUGCCCCCAUUGUAGGUGUUUUGUGCUCUGGUUAAAUGAAGAUAAUUUUUUUUUCUAGGCUGUGUCUGUGAAACAACUCACCUUAAUCCCGAUGAAGUUUAGCUCUAGACAUGUGUUCCCUCAAGUUCUUCUCGAUCCAAUUGAUCCAUUUUUUUUUGGGGGAUGAUUCAAUUGAUCCUAAUCUUGCGUUUUCUCUUGACUUCCACCCCUAGUCAGCUCUCUUUUCUGUCACCUAGUGUCAACCUGUAUGGCUGGUCAGUUAACCAUUUUGCUUGGAGGCCAGGAUUUUGAAGCAUGUAAGGUGGGUCUUCGUGUGCCUCUACUCUUGGGGAGAGAGUCACUUCAACUUUUACUGGGUUCUUACACAUAUAUUGACUUCCUUUGACUCCGUCUGUUUGCUGCCCAUACACUGGACAGUUGAGCUGCUCGUUCUAGAAACUUUUUAUAUAAUUCGUGGUCAGGUGCAUGAAUAGUACAAUACAUAGUAUAUAUUUGGUGGGAAAGAAGUGGAAUGCUCUGUGUAACUGGUUGUGAGAGAGAAUGUUGGUGUGUAUGUUAUUUGGUGAAGCUACAUUGAUUUGCAUUUGUACAUAAUUAGCUCCAAGAAUUAACAUAGAUUUAUGUAUGUUCAUGUCAAGGUAUAUCAAAUUACCAGCUUGAUGUAAUUAAGAGGAACUUAUUGUUUAUUUAACUAUGGUUAGUUAUUUGUUAAAAAGGCGAGUCCUUACGCUAUCCAACGGUAAUCUUGGCAUGGAAAAAUCAAGUGACACCAGCCCAAAAAACAGUUAGGCAAGGGAUGCCAAAUUCCAUUAUAGAAAGUCCACAGAAAAUCAGACAAGAAUGUGGUCAAAUUUUUUCUGGUUAUUUAUUUUUGUAUGGUUGUAUGAUUUUGUUUGUCGCGAGGGUCCACUUCACAUAUGAUUGUGUAUGUGAAGUGAUUAAUCUAGUUGAAUUAGCAACAUAUCUCAGUGACAUAUAUAUAAGCAUGACAAGAUUACAUUUACAAAAUUAAAUCAUGCAUGCGUUGCUCCAUUCGAAGCAAGACAAAGUUACAUUGACAACAUUAAUUAGGGUACUCCCAAUGCAUUGUAUCUUAUAUUGUAUCUUAUGUAUUAAAUACACAUUUAGAUACAAUUACUCCAAUUUUUUGUAUCCUAGUGUUGUAUCUACAUCCUUUUAUUUAUUAUGUUCUGUGAGAGAGCAAUUAUGAUUUUUCUUAGGUUCAACGCUAAGAGUUGUAUCUAUAUUAAGAUACCAUGCUUUUCUCUUUCUUCAUUAAAUAGGGUGCCACAUCAGAUUUUUGCUUAGAUGACAUGUUAAGAUACGGUGCAUUGGGAGUGUCCUUAAACAACACAUGCUUUGCAUUAAUGGCUUUCAUAUUUUAAUGAGUAAUAUUCUCUAAAUCACCUACUCAGUAUUAAACUGUGAAGAGAUUUGUUAUUAUAGAGACCGACAGGUACCAAUACAUUAUUAGCUAGUAUAUCAAUGUUGGUGAGUCUUUUACGGUGUCACGAUAAACCCAUCAUUUUUGUAUAUCCUAAGACAAGGUAAAGAAAAACAAACUGACGCACCCACCAUUAUUUCUUUCUUUUCUGUUGGUACCGAAAUUAAUUACAUUAGCUAGUGAUGUAAUAACCAGAACAAUGCAACUUACAUGGGAUAAGUGGAGAACCACCGUACCGGAAUACAGAUGAUGGAUGACCCACGGCCGGCCGACUGCAGCAACGGCUUUGAUAUACUGGACUAUGAAUGCUUGCAAUGUAAGUAUAUAUGCAACUGUAUUCACGAUGAAAUGAAACAUCCAUUUAUAGCACAGCACAUGAAGCUAGGGCAGGAUCUGGUUGAGGCCACCAGCACAUCCGUCUUUAAUUUGGCUAACCAUCCUGAUUUGUUUUACAUUUUUCUUGCCCUUUCCUUUUCCUUUAUCUUUAUCUUUUAUUUAGAAUCUCGUGUCCUUCUCUCUACGUCAUGUAUCUUUGAUUUCACCUUAUCUGGGUCUAAAACAUGAACUGACACCAGGCUUUUUCGUUAAAAAGAAACAUGGACAUGAACAGUGAUUUGUUUUCGCAUUUUUCUUUACCAUUUCCUUUUCCUUUAUCCUUUUCUUUUAUGGACAGAAUCUCGUUUCCUUCACACUGGAUCAUGCAUGUACCUUUGCUUUCACAUCAUCUGGGUCUACAACAUGAACCAACACUCCGCACCUUUUUGUUAAAAUCAAAUACACCCUCUGUUUUUUUAAUAUAUGACGUUUAGGAAAAAAAAUUAGUAGUUCAUUUUGAACUAAAAUUGUUGUUGUCCUAAACGUCAUAUAUUUAAAAACGGAGGUACUAGUAAAUAUAAGCAGAUCUUACAUAUCCUCAAAGCUCAAUAAAUAUCCCAAUAAAUUCGUUGUCAAAGAAGGCCUUAAUCCUUGUUAACGCCUAGUAGAACUGUAAAUCUGUUAAUAUAAUACAAGACCAGCAUUUUUGGUAGGAAAAAAAGUCUAUUUACUAUUUUAGGUUGUUCACUUAAUCCUCUAAACUAAGUUUUAGUAUGAUUUACUACCCUGAACUAUUUAGAUUGGUUCAUUUCACCCCCUGUUGGAGCAGCUUGUUUUGUUUCGCUUCAUGUAUGUUACGUUUGAAGUUCAACUUUUGUGGAGCCAUAGAUGGCAACACAAUAUAUUUAAAAAAAUAUAUUUUGAGAACUUUUUAUGAUUAUUUUUAAUGGGUAUAGCAUUAUAACGUAAAUGAUCUUCUACGUAGGUUAUGAUAUCAUCUAAAAUAUAUCCAUAUUAAGUGACUCAAAUUUGCUCAAAUAUGAAUGUAUCUAUGUUUUAAAAACGUCUAUAUACAUGUAAUAUUUCGUCAUUUAAUAUGUGACGGAAGGAGUAUAAAAUUUGAGGAGCGGGAAGGGGUACGCGAGGAGGAAAGCUAAAUGUCAGAUUUUGAUAUGAGGUUAUGUGGGAUAAAAGUUAAAGUUAGAUAUUUUGUUUUUUUAGAAUUUCUAUUUGAUUUCUCUAAUUUUCUAACCCGCCAUGGUUGGAGGAUCAUCUUUUUUAUUAGUAAAUAGAUAGAGAGAAAAAAACAAAUUCAAUGAAAUUCAUUAUUGAAAAAAAAAGGACAAACCCAGAUCCAUCCUGCCCCUCGCUUCGGCUGGUUCGCCGCGCCCACCUCCGAGAUCUGGACAUGAGCAUCGGGACCUCGGUUGCGGCCAACGAUGGACACGACGCCGCGGUGGAUGCGUCGGUGUGCCUGCCUCCCUCUUGCAAGGUGGGACUUGCCCCUACAUCUCCAGAGCUGACACCCGUCUCAUGUUCGAUGGAAGGAACUUUUAGUCGGAAGCCAAAGUUCUCUGGCUCCUGGACGAUGGAACCCUAUGUUGCGCUAGGUUACUUCCUCACUCUCAAUUGUCCCAGUAGUCUUUAGGCUGAGGAGCAAGAUUUCUCGCAUCUAAAGUGGCAAAUUCUUUUGGCCAUAACCAUGAGUCACGUUGUUUCGGUCGGUCAGACCUAUCAGAAGCAAAAGAGGAGCCUGGCUGAGAAUCGCGCAAGAACUUGGCCAUCAGCAGCUACGCUCACCAGUCAGCCGCGCGUGGCAACAUGCAAAUGAUGCGCGGUCACCAUGCAUGAGCUCAUCGGGCUUCGAUACAGAGAGAGAAUUGCGUAUUGCCAAUGAUAAUUUGCCCGUAUACCUAAGAAUUUGCAUGUGAUACACAUAUGUUAUUAUCGUUAGUUGACUGCUAAUUGUCAGUUAAGUCAAUUUCAAAUUGACCGAAAUACCGUUGGGUCCACUGGUCAGGAAAAAAAAAUAGGCUGCUUUGG